AACUAACGCUAAAAAUUGUUACAGUUUCUGUACUAUAUUGGUAUGAGAAGCUUCCAGUUCAUCUGGUAAAUUUUGGAAACACUGCCUUCGGGCAC
rnacentral:misc_RNA from 2 species